CGUCCCCUCAGCGCCCCGGGCGGCUCCGAGCCGCGGAGGCCGCCGCGCCGCGCGCAUCUGAUGCCAUGGAUCUGCCCCGGCAAGACCUUCCCCCACUAUGCUUUUGAAUAACGUUGCUUUUGUAUGGCGAUGUUUGCCUUCAUCCCCACUUCUGCACAUCCCUCUGCUGCUGCUGUUGUAUUCCCAAGCUUGGAGGCUUGCGAGUCAGUGAGAAGAGAGAACAAGAGACACCUGCAGAGAAUGAUUCAUUCUGUGCCUGUUCGACACCGCUCUGGAUGGAACAAGUCUCCUUGCUGGGUGUUGUCUCUCCCCAUCAAUUCUCAGCAGAAGCUAGACAACCAGUUCUGACCAGAAGCCUGACUUACGGGUGCCACGUGAGAUGAAUUGUACCACAGAUGACUAAUUUUUCUCAUUCAUCAUACCUGCUUUUGGCCUAUAGAAGUUGGGUCAUCAAGGAAGAUAUUGAAGAGGACAGGCCCCAGUACCGACCCCUGAGGAACACCACUCGUGAUCAGUCGCCAGCUGGAUUUAACUCCAUUCACCACCACUCUGUGGGCUCAGCCCUCCAGCCAGUGCUUUACUCAGCAAAGAGUGUAUCUGACCAAGCCAUGAGAUGCCAGCUUCUCCAGGAGAAUACUGUGGGAGACAGUGUCAAAGGCUUUGCUGAAGCCUCGGUAGACUGUAUUGACAUGCAUAAUAUAAUCACAGAAUCACCAAGGUUGGAAAAGACCUCCAAGAUCAUCUGUUCCAACCAUCCCUCUACCACCAGUAUUUCCUGACUAACCCAUACAGAUGGACUAUGCCAGAGUUGGUUCUCAGACUUUCUAGACAACUAAAAACUAUGUUUUUCUUUGUUUUAUGUUUUUCUGUGGGAGUUGACACAUUUUAGGUAAAAUACUUGAAACAGAGAGAAAAUGAGCAGUGAUUAACGCACUUUCACCAAGAACGUAUUCUUGUUAUGGUCUUGUGGAGUACUGGAGAUUUACAGAGCACAAUGUGUAACCUCUAGGCCAAAUGCUCGUAGUUGUAAGCUUUAUGCAUUUCUGAGCCAUAGUUCAGCCUGUUGUUGGAUGUGGUAAUCUUUGAUUAUGGGACUGCUUAUUCAUUUGCUGAAAAGAUGUGACUUAUGUAGUUGAGAGAGACUGUCUUCAGUGGAAGCCUUGCCUCAGUUAUUGUAAGAAGAGGCAAGAUACACCCAUAAAACUGCUGAAUUCUGCUGUGGAGGAAUUAAUUCAAUCCAUGUGUCUGCCACAAUGUUUUUUUUGUGAGAUGAUAGUGAUGGACAAGUCACUUCAAGCAGAAUUUGGUCAGGAGACUGUUUAGCACAUGGGAAGUCAGUGGGAGUUGUUCUUAAAUAUCUUAAGUGUAAUGAAAAUGCCAAGCACUAUGAAGUAACAGGUCCAAGCUAUCACAAGCUUGGCAGCCAGAACUGGAGUUAUUAACCAGUAUGUUUUCUGGUCAGCUGCUUCACAAAUAACCAUUGUCUUAAAGUUAACAGAUUAUCAUUUUUUCCUUGAAAAGUGAAUGCCCCUUUUGAGGGUAGGACAGAGUAUAUUCUAGUGAGUGGUUCAUGAGUUGACAGAUGCUUAUUGUAAUAAGUGACAUCCCAAUUUCCAGUCAGCUUUUUGGAGACUGCAGAUGGAUUUUAGCUCCUGGUCUCCAACCAGGAGCUCACAGUUGGUGCAGAGCUGGUGAGGUGACCGCCAGGAACCAAGUGAAGCCGGCAGAGAGUGAGAGAAGAAAGAUAACACCGGCUUGGUUGGAUGGGGCUGGAGGACCAGGGAAGGUACCAAUCACAGCUGAGUGAGGCCUUGGAGCCUGAAGAAGGAGGUCUAAAGAUUAAAGGGGAACAGGAGAGAAGGAAAAUUCAAGAUUCAUAUCCCUUACCAUUUCUUCUUCUUCUUCUUUUUAAAUUUUCAUUUGAAAUUAAGAACUAAAAUAAGGAACAAUGCUCAGAAAGUGAAUGCUUCUGGAGACAUUUCUUGUGUGUCUGUGCCCUUUUAUAGGUACAACAACGUAUGGUGCUUUUCACCCUAAAUCUCCUGACUUCUGGGACACAAGCUCGAGAUUGAUGCCAUGAGGUCUAUAUUAACCAUCACAUAAGUGGAAGUCUCUGGAAGAGACUCCAGAGCUGGUAGUUUGGGGCGUUCAUCUGAAACACUGGGAAUUACCAGUUGUGGUGUGAACUAGAGAAAAACAGGCUACAAAGUGUUGGUCAUUGGCAGACCUUUUAAACAUCAGGUCACUUCUCUGAGAAUUUCCUCAGGAAAUGUUCAGAAUAUUCUUGGGUUUCUUCUGAACCAUGUCAGUAAGACAUCUGAAAUACUAACAAGUGCCACAAGGUGAGAAAAUCAUUCUUCCUGACCUGGAUCCAUUCAGUGCAGUUUGGGGUACAGGAUCUUUCCAUUACAACCAGCAUCACUUUGAAGUCAUAUCUGAUACAGAACUUCUGAAUAGUUGCUGGUAUUUGACUGUGUUUGCAGAAAUUGUUUAGUACACGGUGACUGUGUUCUGCUUCAGUGUUUUUUUGUCUAUUUUUAUGUGAGCUUCUGCUCUGUUUCUGAUAGCGUUUGUAUAGAUUCUAUCAAGGAAAACAAAUGUCAUGGGGAAGUUUUAGGUAAUUUUUUUGCUGUCGGGGUGUUUUUUGUUUUUUUUUUUCCUUCUGUAAUGCAGAUGUUCCUAUUUUAAACCUGGUAAAGGCAUUUCCAUCUGAGACGGUGAUACUCUGCUUUGUACACAGAGCAGAGAGAACAGAAACACACCUUUCAAAUUGGCUCAGGGAGCAAUGUGCAGUAUACCAAUUGCUCUCUUUUCCACUGCUGUGGACAUUCCUCUGCAGGAUAAGCAGGCUGCCCAUGUGGUUGCACAGGAGUGGCUGUGCAAAUGACAUGAAACAGGCUGUAGAUACUCCUUUGGUGGAGACCCAGUAAUCUUGAUGUUUUACACACGUGGGGCCUGAUGAAGAGAUGGUAAAACCCAGGGAGACUUUCCCCAUCAGCCUCACAGCUUUGAAUUCAGUUUCAGGUGCAGUUGAGGAUGUAUAUGAAGUAUACAGCUGGGAUUUGGCUGGGAGAACACUUGCCUGUGAGAGUGGAGAGGGAAUUUUUUUCACUGCUCUGGGGUGGUGAGUGAAUUUUAUCUAACACCUUCCACUUGCCUGUAGCCACGUUCAUAGAGCCAUAGAAUGUUCUAUACUGAUUCUGCCCCCAGACUGUAAAGAACAAGAUAAUAACUUUAUUUUAUGUACUGGAGAGCUAAAUUGUUUUCAAAGUCUUAGUUUAGCAGGCAAAGAUGAAUUUAUUUGCCAAAGACGUUCAGAAGCAGCUUGGGAAACUCUGCCAGAGCCCAGCUUUAACCACUAACUGGUGGCUGUUGUACUUAAUAGCUGUCAGGCAUGCUUGCAGUGUGAGGGAGACUGGCACAAAAUCCAGGAUAUAGGGGAUUUUCCUCCAAACAACAGCAAGUGCAAUCAAUUCACAAAUCGUAUAGUUGAAUAAGAAGAAAACCUGCAUCUGCAGCCACUUGCAUGUUGCAUCCCUUACUGGCUCUGCUCCCGUACCUGGGACGAGAAACAACCUUGCUCUUGUUUCACACUCUUUAUCCGUUCUAUCCAGCUCUAUUAACUUAGCGCACUGCUGAACAUUACCUUUGCUCUGCUUGCACUGCUGGCCUUUGCCAUCCUUUUCCCACCUAGAUAUCUUCGUGCUUUCCUGCAUCCUAACCUCCAUGUGUGGAACAAAGUCUGGAAAAUUCUCUCCAUCUGCUCUUCUUCAGAUCAUUCUGGCAGAUGCACUUCGACCCUGAUGCCUGUGGGGCACUGCUGAUAAUGGCCAGAGUGCAAGUUACAUUGUUUUCUAGCCAGCCAAUGUGAAAACACGUUCGUGUUAUUUCUACUGUGGUUUUCAUAUCAACCCCUUUCCUGCCAGGGAGGACAAAGCCAUAAUGCCUUUUUAGUAAUGGCCAACUGUCUUUGGAAGCUGACACAGAUAAGAGCGGCUCUCAGCCCACAAGUUGUUACCUUCCUUCUCCUCGAGUCACAGCUCCACCAGUUUGCUUUUAGCCAUCGUAUUCAUUUUGUUCUCCUUGACUUCUGCCCAUCUGUGAAUGCAGCUCUCUGGCCUCACCAAGGGACUAUGUCAGCAUCCACCCUUUCAGAAUAUGUUAACAGGUCUUGGCUCCAACCAGCAAAGGUCGUUUUUUUGGGGGGUGGCUUUCUUGCAUACGCAGCCACGGAGCCCUUUACAGAGUGACAAAAAGACUUCCUUCCCAUUUGCUAUUACUCACCUAACUGUGUUUGGAAGGGGCGGGCAUCCUAGCUAAUCAGAGCUUCAGACAGGCAAUUCCUCAAAUUGUUUUAGGGUUUUUAAUUAAAACUGUAGGCUUCAGCACCACAUGGCAGAGAGCCAGAAGCAGUCAUCUGACAAUAGCCUUCACCAUCUACCAACAAUAAGGGAAUUCCUAAGUGUACGCUCGGGAGGCUUCUGAAAUGCUGUGAACGGCUGAGAUUGGUGUUUGCAAAGCACCCUGCAACAUUUGGCCUUGCAGGUCUGCCGAUUUUUACAUGAUAUAAACAAAACCCUAUAAUCUCCACCCAGCACAGAGAUACUGACUUGUGUUUAUACUGUCCAGAUCACAGAUGCUGAGCAUGAAUGCAUGAGCAGUCCUUUUGUAUGGUGUUUGACACUUUCUGUGGCUGUCUGCGCUGUUUUUUAAUAUACAGAAUCCCCGGUUCUCCACUGCCUUGCACCCUGUCUAUUCAUUCUCACCCCUGUGAAGUGAGGGUAAAACACUAUCAAAACAAAAUGGUACCACUUUGCAUGUUUUCCACUCAGUUUGUACAGGUGUAAAUGACUACAGAAAGAACAGGGCAGAGCAGAACCUGACCCGCAGUCUGUCUCUCCAUGCGUCAGGGGUCCUGAAGUGGGGUAUGACAGAACAAACACAAGCUGUUACCUUGCCAGUUUUGCUUUUUUGUUUGCUUUUUGGUGUUGUUGUUUAAAAUCAGGCAGCUUGCAGGGAUGACAGAUGCAAAAGUCGGGCAGUACUUGGUUCCUGUAGUCCUCACGUGACGUCUUCUCAUCGAGUAACGAAAGUGUUACCCGUGGCAGAGGUAGGUGGGCAUGAUUACUGGUAUGGGAGCAUGAUUGUCAAUGUGAGUAAGCUCUGAGUAGUUGAGCUGUUGCAGUUAGAGAGAAAAAUCCUCCUUGUUCUUUCUGUUGCUUGUUACGUUACCUUAGCUCUUAUAAACUAUUACAAAGGAGGCUGAACUCUCCAAGCUGGGUCCUGGAAAAGAGUGGCACUCAAUUUUUAGAUGUAGUCAUUACUCUUUUUGUCCUUGUAGCAGCAGAAGGCUAUACCCAUCCUAAGUCAUCUUAAAUCAUCUUCUGAUACUGCUUAACACAUCUCUGCAGGCACGCACUUGAACCUUCUUCCAAAAGAAACGGUGGCUCCUUUCUAUGCUCUCUACACAAAACCCAGCUCUCUGGCUCUUGCCCUACUUUCCUCAGCAGCGCACCAGACCGUCCAAGCCCAAGUCUCUGUUUUCACCCAGAGAGAGAAUUUACUUAUGACACAUAGAUAUCAUUAUCACUCCUUUGCUGGAUGUUUCCCAUAAAUACAGAUCCUGCCUAUUCCUAGGCCCUGGACUACCCUAAACUUUCUCUUUGUUUGUCUGAUUUUUUUACCUCCAGAAAUCCUGUCCGGUUACAACUGUCCAAAUCCUUCAGCUCACACCAUUACCUGCUGUAAGUGCUGCCUUGGGGCUGACCGCCUGCUCGUAAAGGAGCGGCGUACUGCCUUAGUGGUUCCAGCAGGGUAUUGGAGGGGAAUCGUGUGCCAUAUCUUCCUGCUUUCCAAUCCAAGAUGCCAAAGUCUACCGGAGCACACAGUUGACUAGUAUAAAAUGAUACAUGCAGACCAGAAGUGGAAUACAUAUUGAUCAGAAGUUGAGUACGUGCUGACAAACCACCUCAAAAAAAACACAGUAACUCAGUUGGCUGGAUCCAUAUGGAGCUGAUGAACCUCUGAAUGAAUAGUGAAUGGAAAAACUGCUGGAAUCUGCCUUCAGCUUUGUUCCCAGGAUGACCAAUGUAAAAGGCCUAAGAGCAAUACUGCACAGAUGGUGUAAAGAGGGCUCCACCUGAAACCAGAUAUUGAUAUCCUCUUUCUUUGAGCAUGGUGGAGACACCUUCAAAAGUGGAAAAGGUCCAAGAACAAACAGCCACGAAGACUUUGGUGCCAGCAGGCAGUUGCAGACUAGUAAAAGCUUCAGAUCCGAACAUUACUAGAAGAGAAAUUGACCAGCUGUUAAUAAUUCCCAGAACCCUAUUUCCAGAAAGUAUCAAUUCUCUCCAAGGUCACCUUUUAAGAGGCAGUGAGCUGUGUCGUACUGUUUGAAGGAUCCUGAAAACUUGCUGCUGAACAGCAUUCAGUGUGGCAAAGGAGUAGAAAAUGUCUUCUCUUACCUGCUGACAGUUGAGUGACCCAGCUGUAACUCCUUCCUUGCUGCUGCUCCUACUACACUGACAAAGGAGAGGAAACAUUUGCAGCAAGCCCUGCAGCAGAGAAUGGAUCCAUAGGGUACUUGGCUACAUGGUGCUGUCUGGGGCCCAGUUUAACCUCACCUUGUCUUUCCAGCAGUCCCAGAACUCUUGAAAAAUGUGGGUGGAGAUCCAUUACACAUGCUUACUCGCCAUGAAAAACAGUGUGAACAGCCAACACAGACUCCAGGUGGUGGAUCAGCAUUAAUCAUAAUAGACCCAGGGGCAGAGGAUUGGCAGGAUACCACAAGAAAUGGUUGUAUGUCCAUCUCCUUGAACUCUGUGACCUCUGGUGGGGGACAGAGAUAUGAAGGCCGGUGUCGCUGGCUUUGUCUUCUAUUCCAGCUAUCAUAAACCACGAUGUGCUGUACGUAUGUAUCCUUUUGCCUGCAGGAAAGGGGUGUGUGAUGUAAUCCUCUGGUAGUAGAUAUAGGCAUUCUGGACUUUUUUGAGAGCUUUCACAGAAAGAAAGGUAGAAACAUGUCCUUCAAAUUCAGUUGGAUUUACUAGGAGCAGCUUUCAUUUUGUCACAUACCAGCCUAAACGCUCAUGUAGAUGAUAAGCCAGAAAAAUGAAUAUCUCCUCUUUCCUCUCUUCCUCACUUAUCUGUUUGCAUGUAUUUCUUCCUGUCUGACCCAGAAAGAGAAAUGGUGUGGAUGUGGAGAAAUAGAAGCAGGAGCGUUCAGCACAGUGGUGGUGUGCUCACAACAGGCCAGUUGUGUGAGAUAUGCAAGCCUUGUACCAACUAGCAAGAGAAGAAGUGUGGGCUUGUGGUCGGCAUUGUGGCCGAGCUGUAGCUGGUAGAGCAGCUGCAGAGGCAGCCGGGCCGAGCUGGCUGUGAGGAGAUGGGGAAGUAGAUGGGCUCUGGCCAGUGCCCAUCCCUCCCCCUUCCCUCCACACAGAGUUGUGCAGGGAGCUCUUUUGUUCAGAGGAUGUUAGGACACAAGCGGUGCCUCCUCUGAACCACAGAGAGGAACAGCUACCAGAGUUGCUGAAAUGGGGACUGCUAGAUACUGUGACAGCUUGCUGCAGUUCUGGAGGAUUUUCUGCGCCCCAUCCUCUUUCACUGGAGCUCCAGCUCCAUCUUCCCACUCCCCACAGCCCUUUCACUUCCUAUGUGCUCCAAGUCUAUUCUGUUUUAUCUUUAGUUCUCCUAGCCUGUGUCUCCUUACAUCUUUCCAUAUUAAUCCCUUCUCUCUUUUCCCUGUCAGGAAAAAAACAAACAAACAAACAAACCAAGAGUGGAACUCUUUCCAGGUUCUGUUUCCAGGUUGUUUCUGUUGAACACGUUUGCAUGUUGGGUUACUGCAUUUCCUCCAGCCUCCAUCGCUCUUUGUUUUGCCUGUGAGAGCUCCAGGCAGGGGCUGGCUGCAGCUCGGUGUGUACAGAGCCUACUGAGGCUGAAGGCGCUCCGUUCUCAGUAGUCCUUAGGCACUGAUGUUGUAAGCAGAAUUAAUAGUGAUUUGACUGGAUGCAAUUGCCAGUGUGGCCACAGACUUACAAUGUAACUGUGGGAAAAUGAGUCUCUUGGUGUCUCUGAUCGCUAUCUGUAAAAUAAUACUUUCCUUCCAGCCUUUAAGUAAGAAUACCUGGUUAAAACUAAAUUGGAUUUUUAAAUCUCUUCCACCGUUAUUAAUCUUUUGUGUGAUUAGCAAGGCAAGUUAGCUAUGCAGUUGCUUUUAAAUGGUAAAUUUCAGUCUUACCUGUCUGCUUCUCAGAUAUUCUGUGUUGCCAGCAUGUGAUGUGUACUGAUUUGCAGUUCAUGUGUCCAUGUGUGUACACAACAUGCUUACGUCAGCUACCUUACUGCUCCUCCUUUUGAGGAUCCCUCUGGAAAACUGCAAGAAUAAGGCAUCUCAGAAAAGACUCUUGCAAGCUUUGUGUCUUUCUACCAACUUGAGUCUGCUGUAGCUGCACAAGGAGGGAAAGUAUAACAGUGAAGACACAUGUAUCUGUGCGUUCACAUGACUGGCACAUUUGUAAACUAGAAAGGAGACAACAGUCAGAGCUUAUUGCUACUGCGUGCUAUCACUCAACAGCGUUACUCAUGUGGAACAGUGCGAUGAGUGCAGGGCAAUGUGUGCUAAAAUCCUACUUACAUAUCUCAUGGAAAUAAAAUAUGUGCUAUUAAUUAUGAAUCACAAAUAUAUUUUAAGAUCCUCUGAUUAAAGGCAGUAUUGAAAUAUAAAGCAUUACAACAGAACUGUGCUAAUUUGCAUGGUUGACUGGGAGACCCUUUGUGGUUGAAUUAAUUUUGCAAUUUAGUAAGUUAACAUACACAGUACAGCAAAGCUCAUGCAUUACAAAUUGCAAUUAUUCAGUGUAUUUUGACAACAGUAUCUCUAUUUUAGUUAUUUACAAUGCUUAAUGACUUCCUAGUGGUUGCUCAAUAGCAUCUCUUUUAUGAAAAUCAAUGACAUCUUAUUCAGACAGUCAGAAAGGGGUCAGGCAUAUGGGGAUGCUGGGCAGAGACUAAGGUAGGGGUCCCUUUCUUCUCUCACCUGCACACUGGCUGCUUGCCAGUGCUGUCUAGCUCAGCCUGCUGUCUCUUCUCCAAAGAGCCUAUACAACCAGCACUAGGUCUUGAUUAUGGACUAAAGAGAGAUAUUCUUUGUAUAUAAUGCAUGGCGUACAGAUUAGUGUGACCCAUACAAUGGUUUUGUUGGUACGUGCUUGUUAGUGGUCAAAUAAUAGAUGAAAAGAUGCUUUGUCUGUAAAUCUAUGUUUACAAGUUUGGAAAUAUAGUCACCAUAAAGAGCCAGGAUUGAUCCCAGGCAUUGCUGGGAGGUGCAGUUCCUAUAGGUAGGGUAUGAAGGGGACAUGACUGGGGAGCACAGCACUGUGUCCCUGCCAAGGGAGUGGAAUGGACGCCUGGUGCAGCUCAGCACCACUGAUAGAAAUCACUGAGUAAGAAUGUCUUGUUUGUGGAUGUGUUGUUUCCCUGCUCAGGGAAGAAGGAGUGCUCAAGUCUGAAAUACUCCACAUCAGUUCCUAGUGUUUCAGCAAAGAUGUGCCCUCGCAGCCCAGAAAGCCAACUGUAUCCUGGGCUACAUCAAAAGAAGUUUGGCCAACAGGUUGAGUGGGGUGAUCCUGGCCCCCUGCUCUGAGCUGUUGAGACUUCACCUGGAACACUGCAUCCAAGUGUGGAGUCCUUGGUACAGGAGAGACUUGUUGGAGCGUGCCCAGAGGAGGGCCACAAAAGUGACCCAAGGGAUGGAACACCUCUUCUAUGAGGACAUGCUGAGAGAGCUGGGGUUCAGCCUGGAGAAGAGAAGGCUCUGAGUUGACCUGAUAGUGGCCUUUCAGUAUCUACAGGGGAGCUACAAGAAAGAAGGGGACGGACUCUUUAGCAGGAUCAGUGAUAAUAGGACAAGGGAAAAUGGUUUCAAACUAAAAGGAUAGAUUUAAGUUGGAUAUAAGGAAAUAGUCUUUUACAGUGAGAGUGGUGAGGCACUGGCACAGGUUGCCCAGUGAUGUGGGGGAUGCCCCAUCCCUGGAGAUGCUCAAGGUCAGGCUGGACAGGGCUUUGUGCAACCUGAUGUCACUGUAGGUGUCCCUGUUGAUUGCAGGGAAGUUAGUCUAGAUGGCCUUAAAAGGUCCCUUCCAUCUCAAUUGAUUCUGUGAUUCUAAAGUAAAAGUGAGGAUCUUUGGUAUUUGACAAAUGGUAUUUGCUCAAAUGACACAAAUAGUCAGUCUUUCAGAGGAUACAAUUUUAAAUAUCAAAUUGUUUGUUGUACAGGUGUUAGUAUUUAAAAUACUUGCUGCUAAGUAAAAAAUACCUUACAACCUAGCAACCCAAUGAGCAAGAUCUCCUAAAGUUGUGAUAAGACUCUACCUCAUGUAGUUCCCCUUUUUGGCCCGAUGGAUCUGAAAUUUGCACUCUCAAAAUUAACAGGAAACCAUCUGGAUUUUCUUUGAGCUCAGCACAUGAGAUUAUAUCCCUUUUUUUUUCUGACCAGCAGCAUCAUCUCUCCAGCCCCUCUCACCAACACCUCUGGCAGAAAUGCAUUUUGAAGCUCUUUCUAUUCCAGGCAACCCAGGCAUGUGUUUUGUAAAAGUGCCAAAGCCAAUAGUUUCUGCUGUUUUCAGGGUGCUGGUGGUAGAGAAUAUUCUCUCAUAGCUUAAUGCUUCACCUGGCAUUUGAUACACAGGGCUCAGCGUUGUGAUAAGCAGUAUUUUGUUGGUUUCCUGGUACAGUGCAGGUGCCACAGGCCAUUGAACAAGUCCUUGCUCUUGCUGGACGGAUGUCUCUUUUUUCAAAGGGAAUUCCCAACCCUUUCUGCUCUGCCCAGGUGCCUGUGCUGCUGCACUAUUCCUCCUUCCACCCACAGGGAAGUCAGCACUUCCCUCAGUGCUGGGCUUGGCCUGAGGCCUACAUCACUGCUCUCACCUUGUCUUGACUAAAAGCAAAGCUUGUCCACAGCCAGUAUAAAUAUAGAUUAGGAAAUAAAGCACAGCUAUGUUCAUCAUUUCAAUCUGCAGGCUCAGCAAGGCCCUCAAUCAAGUUAGGUCUAGUACUAAUUCAUUGGGAGACCAUACGCGCUAACACAAUCCAUGUGGGUGUACCCAUCUUCUACCAAGGCACCAUCCACCAUGCUCCACCAUCUCAGGUGGUCUGUCGCCAUGGAGCCUCUGCUGUGAAGAUAAGAAGACUUGAAAAAGAUCCAUAAGACUAGGAACAACAAGAAAAAAAAUUUAGAGAUGAGUGUGUCUGAGCUUACUGUGUAUGAGACUCCUGACACACUACAUGGCCCAAGCCCUAGCCACUUCUGGGGGCACCAGAGAGCAGUCGUGACUUGGAAGCUAAACCUAACCCCAGAGUAGACGUUAGUGCUUUUGCUUCCAGAGGAACCUGGUCUCACUCUCACCUUCUUUCUUGUUAGUACCACUGUUUAUAUUUUGGGGUGUAUGAAGGGGAACAGUCGGUAUCUUGUUUUACUUUAGUCUGAGGAAAAUCUAUUUCAGUGCCUGAGGAAGGAACUGCUGGCUGCAGGUGUUCACCAAAGAUGUGUUCCUCUUUGCCCCUGUGCUCCUGGAGGGGAAUUCAGCAAAAAGGACCCACAUGUGGAGCCCAGUCCCUGACUUCCCCAAAGCUAUAUAAACACAGCAGAAAUGCCAAUGGGUCCCGGUGACCUGAGGGUGUGCCCAGAGCCUGGGGCAGAGAUACCAAAACUGGCAACCAUGGGGCCUCCAGCUGCAGGCAGCAUGGCUGUGCUGUGUGUGUGGCCUGGCUGGGCCACCUCUGGGCCUGCUGGCAUGGCCAGAACAUGGCUGUUGGUACUGGGCCGUCCCUGGGCCAGAGGUGGCUGCACUGCCCUCCUUCACAUGAGAAUGCCGCCUGUGUCGUUUCUCGAUUCAUUUCUGCCUUCCUUUCUAUAUGUUUAGGCAACUGAAACAGUGUGAAAGGUGAAGGCAGUGUUGAUAGGAGAUGUUUUAUCAGCUGGGGUUUCAAUGCGGUGUCUGAGGGCUCAGGCUGGCACUGUACAUAGUGCUGAGCAGGACUGCUCAGAUUGAUAAUAGAAAAGAACAUGAGAUGAUGCUUUCCAUCUCAGAACUACAAAGUGAGGAAGGUGAGCCUUUCCUUAAUGGCACUGAGGAAUGAUCAUAUGAAAUCACGUGAUCCCCUUUAUGUGACAUGUUUACUCUGUUUUCAAAACCUAGUUUGUGCUGGAUGUUCCUAGUUCACAUGUGAGGAAUCAUUCACAGAAACUUUCAAGGCGAUGAGCAGCAAGUAUCAAUAUGUGAAUAACGAAUGAAUAAUGCAGAGUAGUCUGAGGCACAUUUGUCACUAAUGGCUUGCUAGCAUCUCACAGGCUGUUAUUUGCCCACUUAAACUCUGACCUGGUAAAACCCUUGAACACAUGCAGGAAUAAUUUCACUAAAAAUAUUUUCAUUUACUUUCUUACCAUGUCAGUUGUUCCUGUGAAGACGAUGUGUUUACGCUCAUGCUACGGGCAUUGCAUCGGGCAUCACUCUUUCACAUACUCACAGAAAUGUUUUGUCUGUGGUGAAAUAUGUCACCUCCUUUCUUGAGCUGAAUAUUUCAUUCUGCUCAAUCACAAGUCUAAUACCAGAGUGAAUUAAGUGCAUCAACGGAUCAGGACUGAAAUCUACAAUGAAUGUGAUUACUUAAAAAUAAUCAUAUCAGCAGUAGUUUAGAGAUGUCAUUUUUUGUGGGCAUGUAUGUUCUUUGUAUGGAUAUAUAAAACAGCGUGUGGGAAUGUGAUGCUGUUUAACUCAUAAAGGGAGAGCAAAAUUUUAUUGGUCAGUGUAAAUAUUUGUUCAAGGAAAAGGAGACGAGGUGAGAACAAUCCGCAUGAAAAGAAACCACAUUAGUACCCAGAACAUUGAAAAUAUUGUUCAAGGACAGUUUAUCCUUGUGGAAAAUAUGACCCCCUGUAAAGCUGCUGAGUCUGUUUGCAGAUCAUUUCAAAAUAGAGUCCUCGCAUUUGCCAUUUUAGUUUGUUUUGGCUGUUGGUGUCCAAACUACAUUCCUAGCAAAUUGCAUGAAGUGCUUAUUCCAUUAUUUCUAUUGUUAUGUUUCUCAAUAGAAUGUGGUUAUCUUGAGCUAGUGUCAUGCUUUAGUACAUUAGCACUAAAAUGCGCUGAUGGUCUCGCAAAGAGAGUAAGGGGAGGCUGACAUUGAACUGAUACGCUAUACCUUCUGUCUGGAGAUUCCAAAGUCAGAGGUGGAUUUCAGCUUAAAAUGAAGAAGUAAUAUUUGCAUUUUUUUUUUUGUUUUAAUAAUCUGCUCUCCUCUUAUGAAACCACGACCUGUGCCAGUUCCUAUACAUUCUGCUCAAUCUCUGUCCAGGUGCCUGGAUUAGCUUGAGUGGUCCUAACUGGUUUUUGGAUGAGAGGUGUUUUAAUCUGCUCUGAAUUUAUAUUUUGCACGGCUUCAGUUUUCACAUAAUGAGCCAGCUUUAUCUGUCAUGUGCACAGUUCUGCUUUCUUCACGUCCCAGUUCAUAAUUUUGUUACAUGCCUUUUGUCCAUAGAAAAUAAAGGAAUCGGGGAACUGAAAUUGAAUUAGACCCAAAACGUGCUUGAGUUUCCUGUUUUUCUUGUAUUAAAAUACUUUUUCUAUUGAGACCCAACAUGCAGCAGUUUCCUAACCACAACCACAAGGACUGAGAGAACACGGAGUUUUGUCACACAGCACAGUGUAAGGGGCAGAUCUGAAAGUGGACUGGGGCUCUGCCCCAUGCUGAGCUGGUGGAGGAGGCACCGUCCCACGGCACCAGCAGCUGUCCUGCCACUGGUUAUUUUUGUUCCAGGACACUGGCAAUGACUAGGUUUGUGGUUUACCCCUUGUCCAAGUCAGAUAUCGCCUCUCAUUGUCCUUCUCUGCUUUUUA
rnacentral:lncRNA from 1 species